UGUAUACUCCCUCCGUCCGAAAAUACUUGUCAUCAAAAUGGACAAAAAAGGAUGUAUCUAGAACUAAAAUACAUCUAGAUACAUCCUCUUUUAUUCAUUUUGAUGACAAGUAUUUCCGGACGGAGGGAGUAGAUC
rnacentral:pre_miRNA from 1 species